CUUUGUCACUUGGCAGACCUGAUGAAGGUGGUGGCGGUGUGAAAUUAGAUAUUGAUCUCACUGUGUGUGUGUGUGUGUGUGUGUGUGUGUGUGUGUGUGUGUGUGUGUGUGUGUGUGUGUAAGUAAAGAAAUAAAACAACAGUAAAAAGACAUUUGUAAAAAAAUAACCACCCGUUAUUAAUAUUGAACACAGGGUCACCCCAGUUGAUAUGAAGGCUACGUGUGCCUUUUUUUAAAUAUAUUUUUUUUGUUGUGUUCUUGUUCGUUAUUGUUCUGGGUUAUGUUUCAUGUUUUGUGUUGACCCCAGGAAGAGUAGCUCCUGCUUUCACAACAGCUAAUGGUGAUCCUAAUAAAAUUCCAAAAACUAAGUGGAGACAUAUUGUUCCUCUGCGCUUCUGUUAGCUGAAGACACACACACACACACACACACACACACACACACACACACACACACACACACACACACACACACACACACACACACAUUGUAUCAGACUGCUGGAUCUUAUUGAGCUGCAGGUCAGAUAAAACAGACCACUGUAUGCAUCACCACACACUUGUAAACACACACUUGAACCUGUAUCGGUCACCAUGCUCUGGCAGCUUUGAAUAGAUCAAUAGCCCUUGGGAUGGAUGGAUACUGUACAACCUCAAAUCUUCAUUCUUCUCUGAACAGGUGGCAGUUACUGGUGUUGGUCAAUAAUGUGGGACAGGAAGUGGUGUCUUGACAGCCUAUAAGGUGACAUUGAUGUGGACUAGAAGUUGUGUUGUGUGGACUAGAGGCUGUGGUAUGUGGAUUAGAGGUUGUGUUGUGUGGACUAGAGGUUGUGUUAUGUGGACUAGAGGUUGUGUUGUGUGGAAUAGAGGUUGUCUUGUGCUACAGGUAUCCUGGAGAGUAGAAGGACAUAUGUAGCGUUUCAUCUUACACAUCUGUACAGUAAAUGUUGAUCAUGAAAAUAUUAUGAAGGCAGUGUCUCACUCUACGAUUCCUGGGAGGAUACAAAGACUAAUAUAUACAGUAUAUACAGCAAAUGAAUUACUUAAAAAUCAUACAAUGUGAUUUUCUGCGUUUUUGUUUUAGAUUCCGUCUCUCACAGUUGAAGUGUACCUAUGAUAAAAAUUACAGACCUCUACAUGCUUUGUAAGUAGGAAAACCUGCAAAAUCAGCAGUGUAUCAAAUACUUGUUCUCCCCACUGUAACUAACUCUGUUGGGGCAUUUUAUUUGGAGGGAGAGAAGAUUUCGGGCCCCUGUAAACACUGUCUGUCUAUGUGAACUGUUUUUGUGUUUGUGUCAAAUGUUUUCUUGUGUGCGGGCGUUUGCUGUCAUGUUAAUUUGGGAGCUCCUCUCCAUAAUAAAUGAGUCCUUGAUUCCACUCUCCUCCUGCUAAUGUAGCCGUGAAUCACGUCAUGUCUUCAGUGCAGGCAUCACAUACACAGGCACACACACACAUGCCGGCAUGGACCCACAUACACACAUGAAGGCAUGUACGCCAUUUACACACACUCUCU
rnacentral:lncRNA from 13 species